UACGUAGGGACCGAGCGUUGUUCGGAAUUACUGGGCGUAAAGGGCUCGUAGGCGGCCAACUAAGUCGGAUGUGAAAUCCCCAGGCUCAACUUGGGAACUGCAUCCGAUACUGGAUGGCUUGAAUCCGGGAGAGGGAUGCAGAAUUCCAGGUGUAGCGGUGAAAUGCGUAGAUAUCUGGAGGAAUACCGGUGGCGAAGGCGGCAUCCUGGACCGGCAUUGACGCUGAUGAGCGAAAGCUAGGGGAGCAAACGGG
rnacentral:rRNA from 1 species